GCGAAGAACAUGGUGUAGUUUCUCGGCUCCUGAGAAGUACUGGACAAUGAAGGGUACCCUGUCGGUUACAGCUCGUAUCUGUCUCCUGAGCCCCGUCGGAACUAGCGGUCAAUGAGUUGUGCAUCGUACCCUGUUUCUAUGAGGGCAUCCUUGGGUACUUCCAAGUGCCCAACUAUACAAUUCAUUUCCAACUUCAACCAAGGCCAAAUAUUUAAGUGGACAUCCAAACUGCUCUAAUUUUAUAUAUCUAGUGGUGUACUCUCCUGAGUCAUAACGCUCCAGAUUCAAGUCCCACAUCAGGCUUGAACACACAAAUCCAGGCUGACAUUCCAGAGAUGCCAUCAGAUGAGGGGCAUAACUUUAAGGGCCACAACACACUGCAGUACACCAGAACUGCAAAA